GUAGGCUCGGUCUGAGCAACAUAAGCAUUUUUUGUUGGUCGACCAUGUAAAGAAUGGCACACGUCACGAGUGUGACCAAGUUUAUAACAAUAGGAACACUUGGGUCUAGAUCUUUCAAAAUGACCUCCUCCUCGUCUAUACUCCAUAGUAUGAGAAGCCCGAUUGUCUACGGAUUGGGAGACGAGGAUAGAUGAAUCAAGUGUCUGUGAGGUGCUCACUGGGUGACUUGGUGCUGCAGCAAGGUGAAGUAAGCGAGAAAAUAAUUAAUCAACUGUGGGGACAGUCAGACUAGCCAAAAUCUGAUCGCGUACUGAGUCUAGAUCAUUCGGAAGCCCAGCAAGAGUAAGAACUAGAAACAGCUUUUGUCGUUGCUCUUGCUGCUUUGCAACGCUAGCAGAAACUGUCAUCAACGUCUCAAAUUCCUCCAUAACUGCCAGCACUUGACCCAAGUAAGUAGACAUAUCUGAUUCCUGUUUCUUUAAAUUUGUCAUCCGCGAUAUCACAUCAUAGAAACGAGAUA
rnacentral:lncRNA from 1 species